GACGAACGCUGGCGGCGUGCCUAAUACAUGCAAGUAGGACGCAGUUGCGAACGGGAGAGUAACGCGUCGGUAACUAGCUAUUAGAGGGGGAUAACUAUUGGAAACGAUAGCUAAUACCGCCUACUAGUAGAUGGACCUGCGUUGUAUUAGCUAGUAGGUAGGGUAAUGGCCUACCUAGGCAAUGAUACAUAGCCGACCCGAGAGGGAUGUUGGGCAACCUGGGACUGAGACACGGGCCAGACUCCUACGGAAGGCAGCAGUAGGGGAUCUUCGGCAAUGGGGCGAACCCUGACCGAGGAACGCCGCGUGAGUGAAGAAGGUUUUCGGGUCGUAAAAGUCUGUUGUUAAGGAAGCGGUACUUAACCAGAAAGGAACGGCUAACUACGUGCCAGCAGCCGCGGUAAUUC
rnacentral:rRNA from 1 species